UACGUAGGUCCCGAGCGUUGUCCGGAUUUAUUGGGCGUAAAGCGAACGCAGGUGGUUUAUUAAGUCUGGUGUAAAAGGCAGUGGCUCAACCAUUGUAUGCAUUGGAAACUGGUAGACUUGAGUGCAGGAGAGGAGAGUGGAAUUCCAUGUGUAGCGGUGAAAUGCGUAGAUAUAUGGAAAAACACCAGUGGCGAAAGCGGCUCUCUGGUCUGUAACUGACGCUGAGGUUCGAAAGCGUGGGUAGCAAACAGG
rnacentral:rRNA from 1 species